AUGCUCUGGUCCCAGAGCUUUGGCAGUUGCCUUGAAUUAGUCAGGGCUCAAUUCUCACCUAAAAUGCCAGAUUCUCUGAAUCAUGUCAACGUAUUUAAUUUCCUUCAGAUUACCUUUAGUGACAUUAUUUUGCUCAGGUCUUCUUUACUUGUUUGUUUCAUCUUUCUACUUUCCAGGUCCACAAGAAUGGAAAUUGCAAGAAAAUAUUCCUUGCCUGUCAUUUUCACCGAUGCAUCUCCAAUACCUACAGCAGAACAGUUUCUCAGCUGUGCUGGGGUUCCAGAUCCUGGAAACCAUAGAAUCCAUGGAAGCUAUUUAAUAUGAAGAAACUGAGACUCAAAAGACAUGAAAGGAAUUAAUUGCCUCGACCAAGUCAAAGGGGAGAAAUUCCAAAGUAAGAAAAUUAAAACCAUUCUAUUUUUUUUUAAAUUGAGGGAAAUGCCAAGGGAAUACAUACAAAAGGGAAAUAACUGAGUGAAUUGCAUAGACGAGGUUCUCAUGGAUGCUUUGAUAACUUGGCAUUGUUCACUGAGCCAAGUGACGUCAGUUAUGUACGCAUGAACAUACGCGCGGACAUGUGCGGGCAACCCAUGACCCGCGGGACAAAGAAUGCAACAUUGUGCGUCCCUCACAAGUUUGAAAGUCUCUCACCAGUUUCAACCCUGAAAAUGUUGUGUUCUCACAAAUCCAACAGCAUCGUGUUUCCUCUUUUCUAAUUAAGUUGGUCAUGCCUCAGUCAGCAUCCAGUAAGAGCCUUUUCCAUGGGUUAUCUGUUAUCUGAGAGUUAGAGGCAUUAAUAAGAAAGUUGCACCUUGAAAUAAGUGCAAAUAGUUGGAGAAACAGAUUAUUAAUUUUAAAGACAUUCUGCCAACUACUUAAGCAAUACCUCACCUUCAUAUUAGUUCAUUAAUUAUAUAUUCACAGCAAUUAACUUCUGGAAAAUAAUUAAUUUGGAUGCAGAAAUCACAUCAGUUAUUUCAAAGGAAUAUGGUAAAACUAUUACUUUUUAAGAAAAAAAGAGACCCAUUUCAUAUAACUCCAGACUGGAAGUAUCAUACUACUGAGUACAGGAAGUUAAAUAAAUAGUAAGCAAAUGAAACCA
rnacentral:lncRNA from 12 species